CAACUACUCCCUCUAUCCCAAAUUUCUUGUCUUAGAUUUGUCUAGAUACGGAUGUAUUUGUGACUUGAUACAUCCGUAUCUAGACAAAUCUAAGAAAAGAAUUUUGGGACGGAGGGAGUACUUU
rfam:Triticum aestivum genome assembly, contig: Triticum_aestivum_CS42_TGACv1_scaffold_132062_2BL